AUUGAACGCUGGCGGCAUGCCUAACACAUGCAAGUCGAGCGAGCGGCGGACGGGUGAGUAAUGUAUGGGGACCUGCCCAAUCGAGGGGGAUAACUACUGGAAACCGUGGCUAAUACCGCAUACUAUCGGAUCACCCGAUAGUGGAUUAGCUAGUGGGUGGGGUAAAGGCUCACCAAGGCGACGAUCUCUAGCUGGUCUGAGAGGAUGAUCAGCCACACUGGGACUGAGACACGGCCCAGACUCCUACGGGAGGCAGCAGUGGGGAAUAUUGGACAAUGGGCGAAAGCCUGAUGGAGCCAUGCCGCGUGUAUGAAGAAGGCCUUAGGGUUGUAAAGUACUUUCGGCGGGGAAGCGGUACCCAACGAGAAAGCACCGGCUAACUACGUGCCAGCAGCCGCGGUAAUAC
rnacentral:rRNA from 1 species